GAUGAACGCUAGCGGCAGGCCUAACACAUGCAAGUCGAGGGGCAGCACAGAAACAGCAAUGUUUUGGUGGCGACCGGCGGACGGGUGCGUAACGCGUAUACAACCUACCUUUAACAGGGGGAUAACGGAGAGAAAUUUCCACUAAUACCCCAUAACAUCGAUCAAGGCAUCUUGAUUGGUUGAUAACUCCGGUGGUUAAAGAUGGGCAUGCGUAGUAUUAGGUAGUUGGUGAGGUAAUGGCUCACCAAGCCUACGAUACAUAGGGGGACUGAGAGGUUAGCCCCCCACACUGGUACUGAGACACGGACCAGACUCCUACGGGAGGCAGCAGUGAGGAAUAUUGGUCAAUGGGGGCAACCCUGAACCAGCCAUGCCGCGUGCAGGAAGACAGCUCUAUGAGUUGUAAACUGCUUUUAAACAGGGAUAAAGCACAGUAUGUAUACUGUGUUGAAGGUACUGUAAGAAUAAGGAUCGGCUAACUCCGUGCCAGCCGCCGCAGUAA
rnacentral:rRNA from 1 species